rnacentral:tRNA from 1 species
GGCCAGAUAGCUUAGUUGGUAGAGCGCAGAACUUCAAAACAAAUGAGAGCAAGUCCGAUCCUGGUUUUUGCUA